GGACGAACGCUGGCGGCGUGCCUAACACAUGCAAGUCGAACGGACUGAUUCCUUCGGGAAAGAAAGUUAGUGGCGGACGGGUGAGUAACGCGUGAGCAACCUGCCUUCAGAGAGGGAUAACGUUUGGAAACAGACGCUAAUACCGCAUAACGCGUCGGAGUCGCAUGGCUCUGGCGCCAAAGGAGCAAUCCGCUGAAAGAUGGGCUCGCGUCCGAUUAGAUAGUUGGUGGGGUAACGGCCCACCAAGUCGACGAUCGGUAGCCGGACUGAGAGGUUGAACGGCCACAUUGGGACUGAGACACGGCCCAGACUCCUACGGGAGGCAGCAGUGGGGGAUAUUGCACAAUGGGCGCAAGCCUGAUGCAGCAACGCCGCGUGAGGGAUGACGGUUUUCGGAUUGUAAACCUCUGUCUUUGGUGACGAACAAAUGACGGUAGCCGAGGAGGAAGCCACGGCUAACUACGUGCCAGCAGCUGC
rnacentral:rRNA from 1 species